CGCGAUAGAUAUCACAAAGAGUAAUAAAGACAAAACAAACCACAAGGUCUGAAGUAAAUUGUUGGCAAGUGUUAAAUUACUAAAUUUGCUUAAACUACUCUCUUAAACCUACUUUCUAUAUCUAGUAUUGCUUAUACGCUAAUUAUAUAUACUUAAGUACUACAUAUAAUUGUAAAAGAAAGUGAACUACUAGCAGUACUAGGUGAAUACUUAACAAGUUAUAUUUGCUUUCUACUAGCCGCAGCUCUGAAAAGGUUUCUACGGGUUCAUACUUGCAAGCAUAUUUACUGAGAUGCUGUACCGUCAAUAGGUGAAAUUUUGUACUCUAAA